rnacentral:rRNA from 1 species
CAUGCAAGUCGAACGAACCUUCGGGUUAGUGGCGGACGGGUGAGUAACGCGUGAGAAUCUGCCCUCAGGAGGGGGAUAACAGCUGGAAACGACUGCUAAUACCCCAUAUGCCGAGAGGUGAAAUGAAUUUCGCCUGGGGAUGAGCUCGCGUCUGAUUAGCUUGUUGGUGGGGUAAUAGCCUACCAAGGCUUCGAUCAGUAGCUGGUCUGAGAGGACGAUCAGCCACACUGGGACUGAGACACGGCCCAGACUCCUACGGGAGGCAGCAGUGGGGAAUUUUCCGCAAUGGGCGAAAGCCUGACGGAGCAACGCCGCGUGAGGGAUGGAGGCCUUUGGGCUGUAAACCUCUUUUCUCAAGGAAGAAGAUCUGACGGUACUCGAGGAAUAAGCCACGGCUAAUUCCGUGCCAGCAGCCGCGGUAAUACGGGAGUGGCAAGCGUUAUCCGGAAUUAUUGGGCGUAAAGCGUCCGCAGGCGGCCGUUUAAGUCUGUUGUUAAAUCGUGGAGCUCAACUCCAUCACGGCAAUGGAAACUGUUCGGCUUGAGUAUGGUAGGGGCAGAGGGAAUUUCCGGUGUAGCGGUGAAAUGCGUAGAUAUCGGGAAGAACACCAGUGGCGAAAGCGCUCUGCUGGGCCAUUACUGACGCUCAUGGACGAAAGCCAGGGGAGCGAAAGGGAUUAGAUACCCCUGUAGUCCUGGCCGUAAACGAUGAACACUAGAUGUUGGGGGAAUCGACCCCCUCGGUGUCGUAGCUAACGCGUUAAGUGUUCCGCCUGGGGAGUACGCACGCAAGUGUGAAACUCAAAGGAAUUGACGGGGGCCCGCACAAGCGGUGGAGUAUGUGGUUUAAUUCGAUGCAACGCGAAGAACCUUACCAAGGCUUGACAUCCUGCGAAUCUCUAAGAAAUUAGAGAGUGCCUUCGGGAACGCAGUGACAGGUGGUGCAUGGCUGUCGUCAGCUCGUGUCGUGAGAUGUUGGGUUAAGUCCCGCAACGAGCGCAACCCACGUUUUCAGUUGCCAGCAUUCAGUUGGGCACUCUAGAAAGACUGCCGGUGACAAACCGGAGGAAGGUGUGGACGACGUCAAGUCAUCAUGCCCCUUACGCCUUGGGCUACACACGUACUACAAUGCUGCGGACAAAGAGUAGCGAUCUUGCGAAAGUUAGCUAAUCUCAUAAACCGUGGCUCAGUUCAGAUCGUAGGCUGCAACUCGCCUACGUGAAGGAGGAAUCGCUAGUAAUCGCAGGUCAGCAUACUGCGGUGAAUACGUUCCCGGGCCUUGUACACACCGCCCGUCACACCAUGGAAGUUGGCCAUGCCCGAAGUCGUUACUCUAACCUUUUGGAAGAGGGCGCCGAAGGCAGGGCUAAUGACUGGGGUGAAGUCGUAACAAGGUAACC